GUGUUCGCAUCAGCAGCACAUAUACUAAAAUUGGAACAAUACAGAGAUUAGCAUGGCCCCUGCACAGGAUGACACACAAAUUUAUGAAGUGAUCCAUGUUUUU